UACAGAGGAGCCAAGCGUUGUCCGGAUUGACUGGGCGUAAAGCGCACGCAGGCGGUUUGGCGCGUGGGGUGUGAAAUCUGGCCGCUUAACGGCCAGGCGCCAUCCCAUACGGCUAGACUGGAGUGAUGCAGAGGUCGGUGGAAUUGCCGGUGUAGUGGUGAAAUGCGUAGAGAUCGGCAGGAACACCCAGGGGAAACCAGCCGACUGGGCAUCGACUGACGCUGAGGUGCGAGAGCGUGGGGAGCGAACCGG
rnacentral:rRNA from 1 species